GAACUAUCACUGCCAAGGGAAUUCUUCUUUGAUGUUACAGGUGAUAGAACUAAGAAGAAACAAUGAGAGGAGGUUACAGGCAGGUCAGCCUCGUCCAUUUCCAUCAUAGUCUCUCAGAUUUCCAUGUGUUUUCCCUUCUGGUUCUUCUUUCUUGACUGUGUCCUGUGUCUACUAGAUAUGGAAAACUAGACAAACAAGCUUGGUGAACUUUGUGGAAGAGAAGAUGGCUUCUAAGUGAGAAAUUGCAGGGCUUUCUAUGAAUAAAGUGCACAAGUUCUAGUACAUGUGCCUUCUAACAUAAAAUUUGGUGUUUGGGUCGCUAACAAAGCCAGAUAAGUAAAUUCUAGAUGAGAAAUUAAAAUGUGGUAAAUAUAUACAUGGUGGAAUAUUACUCAGCCUUAAAAAAGAA